GACGAACGCUGGCGGCGUGCUUAACACAUGCAAGUCGAACGGAAAGGCCCUGCUUUUGUGGGGUGCUCGAGUGGCGAACGGGUGCGUAACACGUGAGUAACCUGCCCUUGACUUUGGGAUAACUUCAGGAAACUGGGGCUAAUACCGGAUAGGAGCUCCUGCUGCAUGGUGGGGGUUGGAAAGUUUCGGCGGUUGGGGAUGGACUCGCGGCUUAUCAGCUUGUUGGUGGGGUAGUGGCUUACCAAGGCUUUGACGGGUAGCCGGCCUGAGAGGGUGACCGGCCACAUGGGGACUGAGAUACGGCCCAGACUCCUACGGGAGGCAACAGGGGGGAAUAUUGCACAAUGGGCGGAAGCCUGAUGCAGCAACGCCGCGUGCGGGAUGACGGCCUUCGGGUUGUAAACCGCAGUCGCCUGUGACGAAGCGUGAGUGACGGUAAUGGGUAAAGAAGCACCGGCUAACUACGUG
rnacentral:rRNA from 1 species